ensembl:lncRNA
GGGUACUGUGAGAUACCAUAUAGGACUAGGGAGUGGAGGGUUACCAUAGGGUGACAGAAGGUUCUGUGGGGUACUGUGAGAUACCAUAUAGGACUAGGGAGUGGAGGGUUACCAUAGGGUGACAGAAGGUUCUGUGGGGUACUGUGAGAUACCAUAAAGCACUAGAGAGUGGAGGGUUACCAUAGGGUGACAGAAGGUUCUGUGGGGUACUGUGAGAUACCAUAUAGCACUAGGGAGUGGAGGGUGACAGAAGGUUCUGUUGGGUACUGUGAGAUACCAUAUAGGACUAGGGAGUGGAGGGUUA